rnacentral:misc_RNA from 1 species
UACGUAGGUGGCGUGCGUUGUUCGGAAUUACUGGGCGUAAAGCGCGCGCAGGCGGUUCCUUAAGUCAGAUGUGAAAGCCCCCGGCUCAACCGUGGAGGGUCAUUUGAAACUGGGGGACUUGAGUGCAGAAGAGGAAAGUGGAAUUCCAUGUGUAGCGGUGAAAUGCGUAGAGAUGUGGAGGAACACCAGUGGCGAAGGCGACUUUCUGGUCUGUAACUGACGCUGAGGCGCGAAAGCGUGGGGAGCAAACAGG